ACCAGUGAAAUCUGUCCAUAUUGUGCCACAAUUCAGGGUAGACUCUACCCUGGAUUGUGGCACAAUAUGGACAGAUUUCGGAAUAC
rnacentral:pre_miRNA from 1 species